UCGAGCGAGUCUGCCUUGAGAUCGGAGUGCUUGCACUCUGUGAAACAAGAUACAGGCUAGCGGCGGACGGGUGAGUAACACGUGGGUAACCUGCCCAAGAGAUCGGGAUAACACCUGGAAACAGAUGCUAAUACCGGAUAACAACAGAUGAUGCCUAUCAACUGUUUAAAAGAUGGUUCUGCUAUCACUCUUGGAUGGACCUGCGGUGCAUUAGCUAGUUGGUAGGGUAACGGCCUACCAAGGCGAUGAUGCAUAGCCGAGUUGAGAGACUGAUCGGCCACAUUGGGACUGAGACACGGCCCAAACUCCUACGGGAGGCAGCAGUAGGGAAUCUUCCACAAUGGACGCAAGUCUGAUGGAGCAACGCCGCGUGAGUGAAGAAGGGUUUCGGCUCGUAAAGCUCUGUUGUUGGUGAAGAAGGACAGGGGUAGUAACUGACCUUUGUUUGACGGUAAUCAAUUAGAAAGUCACGGCUAACUACGUGCCAGCAGCCGCGGUAAUACGUAGGUGGCAAGCGUUGUCCGGAUUUAUUGGGCGUAAAGCGAGUGCAGGCGGCUCGAUAAGUCUGAUGUGAAAGCCUUCGGCUCAACCGGAGAAUUGCAUCAGAAACUGUCGAGCUUGAGUACAGAAGAGGAGAGUGGAACUCCCUGUGUAGCGGUGAAAUGCGUAGAUAUAUGGAAGAACACCGGUGGCUAAGGCGGCUCUCU
rnacentral:rRNA from 1 species